UAAGGAAUAUUGCGCAAUGGGCGACAGCCUGACGCAGCGACGCCGCGUGGACGAAGAAGGUAUUCGUAUCGUAAAGUUCUGUCCUAUGGGAAGAUAAUGACAGUACCAUAGAAGAAAGCUCCGGCUAAAUACGUGCCAGCAGCCGCGGUAAUACGUAUGGAGCGAGCGUUGUCCGGAAUUAUUGGGCGUAAAGGGUACGCAGGCGGUUUAAUAAGUCGAAUGUUAAAGAUCGGGGCUCAACCCCGUAAAGCAUUGGAAACUGAUAAACUUGAGUAGUGGAGAGGAAAGUGGAAUUCCUAGUGUAGUGGUGAAAUACGUAGAUAUUAGGAGGAAUACCAGUAGCGAAGGCGACUUUCUGGACACAAACUGACGCUGAGGUACGAAAGCGUGGGGAGCAAACAGGAUUAGAUACCCCAGUAGUCCCUGAGCGGGCUGGCAAGGCGCAU
rnacentral:rRNA from 1 species